GGGCUUGACAUCCCACGAACCUGGCUGAGAAGCUGGGGUGCCGAAAGGACAUCUGUAGAGGUGCUGCAUGGCUGUCGUCAGCUCGUGUCGUGAGAUGUUGGGUUAAGUCCCGCAACGAGCGCAACCCUUGUCUUCUGUUGCCAUCGGGUUAUGCCGGGCACUCUGAAGAGACUGCCGGUGACAAACCGGAGGAAGGUGGGGAUGACGUCAAGUCAGCAUGGCCUUUAUGUCUGGGGCCACACACGUGCUACAAUGGCAGGUACAAACCGUCGCAAACUCGCAAGGGUGAGCUAAUCGGAGAAAGCCUGUCUCAGUUCGGAUUGUCGGCUGCAACUCGCCGGCAUGAAGCUGGAAUCGCUAGUAAUCGCGGAUCAGCACGCCGCGGUGAAUACGUUCCCGGGCCUUGUACACACCGCCCGUCACAUCACGAAAGUUGGCUGUACUCGAAGUCGCUGAG
rnacentral:rRNA from 1 species